CCUAAUAUCAUUUUCGGUGAUAAUAUAAAUUUAAACUGCUAACAGACUUCACAUACAGUCCAAAUUUCUUCUAUUAUAUAUUUGUCGUCAUCUAAAACUAUAAGGGCAAUUUUUAAUUGACUCAAUUAAGUGUCUGUCUGAAAUGCACUUUUUGUACAAUUUAAGAAUAUUAGCUAAAAUUUUGUAAUAACUUGUAAUUGAUUACACCUGUUUAUUGUUACAAUGCAUUUGGAACUAAAUUUUGGAUCGCAAAACCCUGCUUCAUUGAUUUAGCUACAUUUCUUCCCUAAAAAAAUAUAUUGUACAAUAUUCAGUUUAUCGAUCUGUGUCAGUUAAUUAGCCUAUGGACAUAUAUUAUAUAUGGAUAAUAAAAAGGAUAUAUCGUAUCUUUGCGUAUAUAUCUCUUUUCUGAUUGUCUGGGUAUCCCUAAUUUAAGUGAAAACACCUCAAGUAUCUUUGAAUUACUUGUACUUUCUAGAGUAGUGUUUGUCAUUCCAUAGUGGUCCACAUCAUUUCAUAGGUUUCCAAAUGUUAACAAACUGGAGACGGCAUCCUGACAAGUCAGCGAGAGUUUUUCACUCGUUAGAACAUUUUUGAGAGAAAAGUGCCUCCUGGAAAAAACCUAUAACAACAUUUUUUAAAUAAAUUUAUGAUUUGAAACGAAGUCGAGUUGACUGGUCACUUAUGUAGGUGUUGAACGCAUCAAUGGGGUAUUCCAAAAUCAAAUUCUCAAAGGAAAACGGAAUAAUUUAAAGUUAGAAAAUAGGAUCAUGUUGCGAUUUGAGGAAUAUGCAACGUAUUUUCGAAUUUCAUUUCAGCAAUAAAACCACAAACAAUUUAAUAUUAUUUUAUUUUAUUUAUUUAUUAAUUUUUAUCAAAAAGAGAGUACAAAAUUAUGUGAAUUGUGUUAAAAAACUUGUUUAUGACAAAUUUGAAAUUUCACACAAAUUUCAAAUACAUUCUUACUGUUAGCACAAAGAGGCAUGGUUUAGGCAAUAUAAAUGUACUUUUACUAUUAACUAUGCUGACGGACGCCAAUGCCGCCAUUCGGUUAAACAGUUAGUUAUAUAUAUUUCGUUACUAUAAACUAAAGCUAGACUAAAAGAAUAAAUUAUAUAAGUAGAAUUAGAAUUUCAUUCCAAAAAUUUAAAACAAACGCAAAAUCAUUGUAAUUAAAUUAAUAAAUGAAACAUAAAUUAUGUUUAAAUUUUCUCAUGUGAUUGCCUGAUGUGUUAGAAAAAAGGACAAGUGAAAAGUCAUACUUAGUGGCAUACAAAUUACGCGUAAAUUGUUUUUUUUUUCAUUUCUGGCAUAACUAAACUAAAUUAUAUAUUGCAUACAGUUAUUAUUAACUGUGUAACUUAAGCGUUAUUGCAUUAUUGAAGGGGUGUGUAGUAUGUGGAUUGGUUAUGUAUUUUGUGACUGUUUUAAAUGUAUGUAUGUGAUUGCUUUGUGGCUCUGCUGUUUCACUCGGUUUGUAUGUGGUUUUGUAAAACUAGUUUAACUACUUUAAAAUGCUCAAUAAAUGCAGCAAU